rnacentral:rRNA from 1 species
GGGAUUGCCCUAGUAACGGCGAGUGAAGCGGCAACAGCUCAAAUUUGAAAUCUGGCGCUUGCGUCCGAGUUGUAAUUUGCAGAGGAUGCUUCUGGCAAAGUGCCUUCCGAGUUCCCUGGAACGGGACGCCAUAGAGGGUGAGAGCCCCGUACGGUCGGUUGCUGCGCCGCUGUGAAGCGCCUUCGACGAGUCGAGUAGUUUGGGAAUGCUGCUCUAAAUGGGAGGUAAACUCCUUCUAAAGCUAAAUAUUGGCCAGAGACCGAUAGCGCACAAGUAGAGUGAUCGAAAGAUGAAAAGCACUUUGAAAAGAGAGUCAAACAGCACGUGAAAUUGUUGAAAGGGAAGCGCUUGUGACCAGACUUGGGCUUGGUAGUUCAGCCGUCCUUCUGGGCGGUGCACUCUGCCGGUUCAGGCCAGCAUCAGUUGUCGGUUGGGGAGAAAGAUGGCGGGAACGUGGCUCUUCGGAGUGUUAUAGCCCGCCAUUAUGCCCUUCUGGCGACUGAGGAUANCGAGCGUUCUGCACGGAUGCUGGCGUAAUGGUUAUCAGCGACCCGUCUUGAAACACGGACCAAGGAGUCAUCCUAAUAUGCGAGUGUUUGGGUGUUAAACCCCUACGCGGAAUGAAAGUAAACGGAGGUGAGAGCUUCGGCGCAUCAUCGACCGAUCCUGAUGUUUUCGGAUGGAUUUGAGUAAGAGCAUAUUGGGCUGGACCCGAAAGAAGGUAGGCAUCUCCGCCGUAAAAGGAAAAAUUUGAGAAAAUAUGCUAACGAAACGAAAUAGGUGAACUAUGCUUGGAUAGGGCAAAGCCAGAGGAAACUCUGGUGGAGGCUCGCAGCGGUUCUGACGUGCAAAUCGAUCGUCAAAUCUGAGCAUGGGGGCGAAAGUAAGUUGGACUCGGUCCCUCCAGGGCAGAAGAAUCAAUGCUAACAAAAAUUACAGGACUAAUCGAACCUUCUAGUAGCUGGUUUCCGCCGAAGUUUCCCUCAGGAUAGCAGUGCUGAUCUCAGUUUUAUGAGGUAAAGCGAAUGGAUUAGGGACUCGGGGGCUUAUUAUGGCCUUCAUCCAUUCUCAAACUUUAAAUAUGUAAGAAGCCUUCGUUACUUUAGUGAACGGAGGCAUUAGAAUGUACAGCACUAGUGGGCCAUUUUUGGUAAGCAGAACUGGCGAGCNGGAAUGAACCGAUCGCGAGGUUAAGGUGCCGGAGUGGACGCUCAUCAGACACCACAAAAGGUGUCGUCACAUCUUGACAGCAGGACGGUGGCCAUGGAAGUCGGAAUCCGCUAAGGACUGUGUAACAACUCACCUGCCGAAUGUGACGGCCCUGAA